rnacentral:rRNA from 1 species
GACGAACGCUGGCGGCGUGCCUAAUACAUGCAAGUAGAACGCACAGUUUAUACCGUAGCUUGCUACACCAUAAACUGUGGGUUGCGAACGGGUGAGUAACGCGUAGGUAACCUGCCUGGUAGCGGGGGAUAACUAUUGGAAACGAUAGCUAAUACCGCAUAAUAUUGAUUAUUGCAUGAUAAUUGAUUGAAAGAUGCUAUUGCAUCACUACCAGAUGGACCUGCGUUGUAUUAGCUAGUAGGUGAGGUAACGGCUCACCUAGGCGACGAUACAUAGCCGACCUGAGAGGGUGAUCGGCCACACUGGGACUGAGACACGGCCCAGACUCCUACGGGAGGCAGCAGUAGGGAAGCUUCGGCAAUGGACGAAAGUCUGACCGAGCAACGCCGCGGGAGUGAAGAAGGUUUUCGGAUCGUAAAGCUCUGUUGUAAGAGAAGAACGGGUGUGAGAGUGGAAAGUUCACACUGUGACGGUAGCUUACCAGAAAGGGACGGCUAACUACGUG